rnacentral:rRNA from 1 species
UACGUAGGUGGCAAGCGUUGUCCGGAAUUAUUGGGCGUAAAGCGCGCGCAGGCGGUCCUUUAAGUCUGAUGUGAAAGCCCACGGCUCAACCGUGGAAGGUCAUUGGAAACUGGAGGACUUGAGUACAGAAGAGGAAAGCGGAAUUCCACGUGUAGCGGUGAAAUGCGUAGGGAUGUGGAGGAACACCAGUGGCGAAGGCGGCUUUCUGGUCUGUAACUGACGCUGAGGCGCGAAAGCGUGGGGAGCAAACAGG